rnacentral:rRNA from 1 species
UAGUCUGCAACCCGGCCUACAUGAAGCUGGAAUCGCUAGUAAUCGCAGAUCAGAAUGCUGCGGUGAAUACGUUCCCGGGUCUUGUACACACCGCCCGUCACACCAUGGGAGUCGGAAAUGCCCGAAGUCGGUGACCCAACCGUUUACGGAGGGAGCUGCCGAAGGCAGGUCUGGUGACUGGGGUGAAGUCGUAACAAGGUAAC